rnacentral:rRNA from 1 species
GACGAACGCUGGCGGCGCGCCUAACACAUGCAAGUCGAACGAGCGAGAGAGAGCUUGCUUUCUCGAGCGAGUGGCGAACGGGUGAGUAACGCGUGAGGAACCUGCCUCAAAGAGGGGGACAACAGUUGGAAACGACUGCUAAUACCGCAUAAGCCCACGGUGCCGCAUGGCACAGAGGGAAAAGGAGCAAUCCGCUUUGAGAUGGCCUCGCGUCCGAUUAGCUAGUUGGUGAGGUAAUGGCCCACCAAGGCGACGAUCGGUAGCCGGACUGAGAGGUUGAACGGCCACAUUGGGACUGAGACACGGCCCAGACUCCUACGGGAGGCAGCAGUGGGGAAUAUUGCACAAUGGGGGAAACCCUGAUGCAGCGACGCCGCGUGGAGGAAGAAGGUCUUCGGAUUGUAAACUCCUGUUGUUGGGGAAGAUAAUGACGGUACCCAACAAGGAAGUGACGGCUAACUA